rnacentral:rRNA from 1 species
UACGGAGGGUCCAAGCGUUGUCCGGAAUCACUGGGCUUAAAGCGUGUGUAGGCGGACUUCUAAGUACCUUGUGAAAUCCCACGGCUCACCCGUGGAACUGCUGGGUAUACUGGUCGUCUUGAGCCACCUAGGGGCGAGCGGAACAAAUGGUGGAGCGGUGAAAUGCGUAGAGAUCGGAAGAACACCAACGGCGAAAGCACUCUGCUGGGCCGACACUGACACUGAGAGACGAAAGCUAGGGGAGCGAAUGGG